rnacentral:rRNA from 1 species
UACGUAGGGUGCAAGCGUUGUCCGGAAUUAUUGGGCGUAAAAGAGCGUGUAGGCGGCCCGGUAAGUCUGUUGUGAAAGUCCAGGGCUCAACCCUGGAAUGCCGAUGGAUACUGCCGGGCUAGAGUUCGGAAGAGGCGAGUGGAAUUCCUGGUGUAGCGGUGGAAUGCGCAGAUAUCAGGAGGAACACCUAUAGCGAAGGCAGCUCGCUGGGACGACACUGACGCUGAGACGCGAAAGCGUGGGGAGCGAACAGG